rnacentral:rRNA from 1 species
UACGAGAGGCCCAAACGUUAUUCGGAAUUACUGGGCUUAAAGGGUACGUAGGCGGCGCUGUUAGUCGGGUGUGAAAGCCCACGGCUCAACCGUGGAAUUGCGCCCGAUACUGCAGUGCUUGAGGGAGACAGAGGUAAGCGGAACUGAUGGUGGAGCGGUGAAAUGCGUUGAUAUCAUCAGGAACACCGGUGGCGAAAGCGGCUUACUGGGUCUCUUCUGACGCUGAAGUACGAAAGCUAGGGUAGCGAAGGGG